GAAGGGAUGGCAGAGUGGUUAUUGCGACAGACUGUAAAUCUGUUGAUUUUAUCAUCGUAGGUUCGAAUCCUACUCUCUUCA
rnacentral:tRNA from 1 species